AGAGUUCGAUCCUGGCUCAGGACUAACGCUGGCGGUGCGCCUAACACAUGCAAGUCGUACGAGCCCUUCGGGGCGAGUGGCAGACGGGUGAGUAACGCGUAGGUAAUGUACCUCUUCGCUGGGGAUACCUAUCCGAAAGGAUAGCUAAUACCGAAUGAACUUAUCGAACGGCAUCGUUUGAUUCGUAAACCUCCGGGGCGAAGAGAUCAGCUUGCGUACUAUCAGCUAGUAGGUGGGGUAACGGCCUACCUAGGCUACGACGGUUAGCCGGUCUGAGAGGAUGAUCGGCCACAUUGGAACUGAAACACGGUCCAGACUCCUACGGGAGGCAGCAGUGAGGAAUCUUGCGCAAUGGGCGAAAGCCUGACGCAGCGACACCGCGUGAGGGAUGAAGGUCUUCGGAUUGUAAACCUUUGUCAGUGGGGACGAGAACGGACGGUACCUACUGAGGAAGCAUCGGCUUACUACGUGCCAGCAGCCGCGGUAAUACGUAGGAUGCAAGCGUUGUCCGGAAUUACUGGGCGUAAAGAGCUCGUAGGCGGGAAGGUACGUUUGGAAGUAAAUCUCACGGCUCAACUGUGAGCUCAUUCCAAAUACGGCUUUUCUUGAGGGCAGCAGGGGAGAAUGGAAUUCCCAGUGUAGCGGUGAAAUGCGUAGAUAUUGGGAAGAAUACCGGUGGCGAAGGCGAUUCUCUGGGCUGUGACUGACGCUGAGGAGCGAAAGCGUGGGUAGCGAACGGGAUUAGAUACCCCGGUAGUCCACGCUGUAAACGAUGGAUGCUAGACGUGUGGGGUAUCGACCCCCUGCGUGUCGUAGCUAACGCAUUAAGCAUCCCGCCUGAGGAGUACGGCCGCAAGGUUAAAACUCAAAGGAAUUGACGGGGGCCCGCACAAGUGGUGGAGCAUGUGGUUUAAUUCGACGCUACGCGAAGAACCUUACCUGGGUUUGACAUUCACAGGAAGAAUGCAGAGAUGUAUUUGCCUUCGGGUCUGUGAACAGGUGCUGCAUGGCUGUCGUCAGCUCGUGCCGUGAGGUGUUGGGUUA
rnacentral:rRNA from 1 species